rnacentral:misc_RNA from 1 species
GAAAUGCGAUACUUGGUGUGAAUUGCAGAAUCCCGUGAACCAUCGAGUCUUUGAACGCACAUUGCGCCCCCUGGUAUUCCGGGGGGCAUGCCUGUCCGAGCGUCAUUGCUGCCCUCAAGCACGGCUUGUGUGUUGGGCCCCCGUCCCCGGGGGAAACCGGGGACGGGCCCGAAAGGCAGCGGCGGCACCGCGUCCGGUCCUCGAGCGUAUGGGGCUUUGUCACCCGCUCUGUAGGCCCGGCCGGCGCCAGCCGACACCCAACUUUAUUUCUAAGGUUGACCUCGGAUCAGGUAGGGAUACCCGCUGAACUUAA